UCACAUUAAAAAUGUAUCAAGUUUUCUAAGUAGUAGUGCCGCAGGUAGCAGAUUUUAGUUACUCCUUGUACACAUCUGCUUAAAAAACUUGUACGUUUUAGAGAAUC
rnacentral:pre_miRNA from 19 species